rnacentral:rRNA from 1 species
UAAGGAAUAUUGCGCAAUGGGCGAAACCCUGAUGCAGCGACGCCGCGUGGAGGACGAAGGGUCUAGGCUCGUAAACUCCUUUUUUCGGGAAAGACUUAGGACGGUACCCGAAGAAUAAGCACCGGCUAACUACGUGCCAGCAGCCGCGGUAAGACGUAGGGUGCAAGCGUUGUCCGGAUUUACUGGGCGUAAAGAGCGCGUAGGCGGCUCGUUAAGUGUGAAGCUAAAUCUCUUGGCUCAACCAAGAAACUAUUUCGCACACUGGCGGGCUGGAGUGAUGCAGAGGUGGAUAGAAUUCCCGGUGUAGCGGUGAAAUGCGUUGAUAUCGGGAGGAAUACCCGUGGCGAAGGCGGUCCACUGGGCAUCAACUGACGCUGAGGCGCGAAAGCGUGGGUAGCAAACAGGAUUAGAUACCCUGGUAGUCCACGCCCUAAACGAUGGAUGCUAGGCGUAGGAGGUAUCGACCCCUCCUGUGCCGCAGCUAACGCAUUAAGCAUCCCGCCUGGGGACUACGGCCGCAAGGUUGC